GACGAACGCUGGCGGCGUGCUUAACACAUGCAAGUCGAACGGAAAGGCCCUGCUUUUGUGGGGUGCUCGAGUGGCGAACGGGUGAGUAACACAUGAGUAACCUGCCCUUGACUUUGGGAUAACUUCAGGAAACUGGGGCUAAUACCGGAUAGGGGCUCCUGCUGCAUGGUGGGGGUUGGAAAGUUUCGGCGGUUGGGGAUGGACUCGCGGCUUAUCAGCUUGUUGGUGGGGUAGUGGCUUACCAAGGCUUUGACGGGUAGCCGGCCUGAGAGGGUGACCGGCCACAUUGGGACUGAGAUACGGCCCAGACUCCUACGGGAGGCAGCAGUGGGGAAUAUUGCACAAUGGGCGGAAGCCUGAUGCAGCAACGCCGCGUGCGGGAUGACGGCCUUCGGGUUGUAAACCGCUUUCGCCUGUGACGAAGCGUGAGUGACGGUAAUGGGUAAAGAAGCACCGGCUAACUACGUG
rnacentral:rRNA from 1 species